rnacentral:rRNA from 1 species
GAUGAACGCUAGCUACAGGCUUAACACAUGCAAGUCGAGGGACCGGCGCACGGGUGAGUAACGCGUAUCCAACCUUCCCAUUACUGUGGGAUAACCUGCCGAAAGGCAGACUAAUACCGCAUAGUCAUGGAUGGGGAUGCGUCUGAUUAGCUUGUUGGCGGGGUAACGGCCCACCAAGGCGACGAUCAGUAGGGGUUCUGAGAGGAAGCGCCCCCACAUUGGAACGGAGACACGGACCAAACUCCUACGGGAGGCAGCAGUGAGGAAUAUUGGUCAAUGGACGUAAGUCUGAACAAGCCAAGUAGCGUGCAGGAUGUCGGCCUAUUGGGUGUAAACUGCUUUUGUAUGGGAAUAGGUACCAAACGAAUAAGGACCGGCUAAUUCCGUGCCAGCAGCCGCGGUAAUAC